UUGACCUCGGAUCAGGUAGGGAUACCCGCUGAACUUAAGCAUAUCAAUAGGNGNGGAAGNAA
rnacentral:rRNA from 1 species